AGUGAACGCUGGCGGUAGGCCUAACACAUGCAAGUCGAACGGCAGCACAGUAAGAGCUUGCUCUUACGGGUGGCGAGUGGCGGACGGGUGAGGAAUACAUCGGAAUCUACUUUUUCGUGGGGGAUAACGUAGGGAAACUUACGCUAAUACCGCAUACGACCUACGGGUGAAAGCAGGGGAUCAUCGGACCUUGCGCGAUUGAAUGAGCCGAUGCCGGAUUAGCUAGUUGGCGGGGUAAAGGCCCACCAAGGCGACGAUCCGUAGCUGGUCUGAGAGGAUGAUCAGCCACACUGGAACUGAGACACGGUCCAGACUCCUACGGGAGGCAGCAGUGGGGAAUAUUGGACAAUGGGCGCAAGCCUGAUCCAGCCAUACCGCGUGGGUGAAGAAGGCCUUCGGGUUGUAAAGCCCUUUUGUUGGGAAAGAAAAGCAGCAGGUUAAUACCCCGCUGUUCUGACGGUACCCAAAGAAUAAGCACCGGCUAACUUCGUG
rnacentral:rRNA from 1 species